UGGCAGUAAGGGUUUUUCAUGUACUAUAAUUUUUUAAUUUUGUUAGCCUGCAAUUAUUUGUUGACUUUAUGUGGGAGAUGGAACCUGUUUUUAUUUGAAUCUGGAGACGGAGGCCAUUGAUGUAUUUACGGGAGCAGACCUUGACCCCAUCACCGCAGUUUGCGUCUCUGACAACACCAUUAUCACAUCGUGUAGAGAUAAAUUGAUUCGUGUUUAUAAUCAUUAAAUAAAUCUAGGUCUCCGGUGUGUCCCUUGAACUCUGUCGACCAAACCUACUUUUGCCAAGUUGGAUAUUCAAGCAGCUUCUAUGCUAGAUUGUUAGCUACCUUUGAAAACAAUAAAACUGUAUCCUGUCUAUAAUAACCGCUCCACGUAAUUUUCGAUUGCCAUAGAUUUUUUUAUUUGCAAAGUCACUUUGUCACGAACUUGGACGAUGUAGUUGCGUUAUUAUUUAACGAUGUUUAUGACUUCUUGCGUGUCCACACAAGUUUGCGGCAGAGCAACACGCACGACUGCUAAAAGAUUCACAAGUGUUACUUGUGUUUGAAUGGCUUUUUCUGUUUAAAACAAGCAAUACUUGUAUAUUAUACACAUUGAGUUCAUUAUAAUGGGCCCUGCUUCCGGAUACUUCUACGAGAUUAAAUACAUGUGGUAAUAAUUUCAAACCAAUUGAGAAUGCAGUAAUUAUAUAGAGUUCAAUGAUGAAGAGGAUGAUAACAGGGAUUGAGACGAUAAUAGAGCGCAAUGAAAAUAUGUUUAAUGAAAACGUCACUUGGGGCUUACAAUUUAAAGUUACAAUAUCUUAUUUCAUUAAAUCUAUAUUUAUAAACAUGUGAGCUAAUAAAAUUGAAAUAUAAAAAUCAAUGUAGUCAACACCACCUUGUAAGAAUGUACUGGAUUAACAGGUUGUAAUUUGGAAAUAUAGACCCCCUACCAUGGGAGUGAAGAAUAUUAAAUAAGUUCAUAGAAUGAUAUAAAGAACCCAUUCAGCUUGACAUUUGAAAUAGGUUCUAAUUUGUAAGGUUAGUCUAGUUAAGGUUAGUCUAGUUAAGGUUAGUCUAGUUAAGAUUAGCAGGGACGUGAGCUUGUUUGGUGGGGUGCGAAACGGCCAGGUAGGUGCGAAAAUUGAUAAAUGCUGAUAUACCAGGAUGUAGAACCUAUCCUGUUCCCGCUGGGACCCCCUGAUGGCACGGCCACUGUUAUCCUGCCUAAAAAUCUCAUGAGGGCUAUCCUAGGAGCCGAGGGCUCAGUAUCCAUUUAAAUCUUCAGAGCAAAAAGCAGGAACAAUACCUUAUCUCAGCCAACCGUUCAGCUAUAAACUGUUUGUGGGGCAGAUACUGUAAUUUCACAGGAGCAAAAUGAUUUGAAUAGAAACUAACCGAGCCCAACGUCUUGAAACACAGCCACUGCUGCAGUGCAGAUGCCAACAUCCCCUUCUUCAUAUUAUGCUUAGAAUAUUUUUUUCCCAUUUUAGUUGAUAAUAUAGAUAUAAUUAGACAUAAUAUAAAAGCAUGUUACAAUAUCCACUAUACCAAUAGCGUAUUGUUGUUCUUAAUCUUAUCAACUUGAUUUUUCAUUUUAUUGCUUAAAAAAAAUAAAACAUUUUUAAAAAUUCUGUGUAGAGACAUUGUAGUUUUAAAAGCAUUGUUUAUUCAGCUUUAUGGUCAUAACCAUUGACAUAGCCACUCAGAAGUUAACAAUUUACAUAAAUUACAUUUUGUACAUUUCUCAUACCAAUCCUAACAAAUAAACCAUAUUUACUUAACAGCUCAGUUGUAAAAGUGCUACUUUCAUCCCUGUCUGUGGCGGGACGAAAAAUUUAACACCAUGCUCGAAAAGUUAACUAUUCACUAAAGUAAAAUUAGUUGCGAAAUUUUGGAUGCAAUUUUUAAAACUAGGACUUUUUAGAAGAGUUAAACCGUGAUGGCGUUAAGAUGCAGCUGCUGUUUCCAACAUUGAACGCGGUUGGUUUAAAGUGUAAAGCCAUUAGUGCGGUCAUUUUAUAGGUCAAACAAAGGAGUUCAUACAUUAAUUGUUUCUCCGUUUGUUUUUUUUCGCAGAGUUAUUCUCGGACUGCAUUUAGAAAUAAGCUCAAAGCAUUGGUUAAAAUUAUGACCCAUAGGGCCGUGUCCUGGAUUUCUUGUAGUAUAUACGUCGAUUUGGAUAUAGAGUGUAAUGCUGUGUUUUUUAACUCCGAAUAAAUGCACAACGUACGAAUAGAUUUCAUAAUUGGUUGAAAGUUUUUAUUUGUGAUUAAUUGGAUUCAAUGGUCAUAAAGCUCUUUAUGUGUUUACUGACAUCCCUCUUGAUAAAUUAUUGUAACUGUUUUUUCAUGUGUUAUGGGGAAAAGCCAUGCAUGUUGUAUAGUUUUUAAUGGAGUGAGAUUGAUUAUUUCGGCUGUACAGUACAUAUAGUUGUUUAUGUAUGGUAAUUGUCAGCAAAAAUGUGUAGUAAUUAUAUAUAAUAUUUUCUCAUCUGAUGAUGCAUAAAAAUCUUCAAACAACAAAUGAAAGAAGGUUUCCAAAAUAA